UACUGUCCCUGAAACAGAUCCUGUUGAGCACUGAGGAAGACAGUGGAGCAGGGCCUCCCCGCGAUGGGGAUGGGGUGCCUGGUGGUGGUGCCCCAGGCCCAACACACACCCAGGAGGUUGAGGAAAACCUGUUGAGCCUAGAAGUGGUCAUCAAACAACUGGAGGAGUUAGAAGAGGAAUUUUGUCGCCUAAGACCCUUCCUGUCUCAGCUUGGGGAGAUUCUGUCCCCCAACCUGGCUGCACCUGAGCGCUCUGCUCAGACAGGUGAGUGGGGAACUGGCGUCAGGGUGCUGUCCCAAGGGCCAGAAAGGGAACUGAGGUCAUGGUGCUAUCCCGAGGGCCAGAAAGGGAACUGGGGUCACAGUGCUGUCCCGAGGGCCGGGAGAGGAACUGGGGUCACAGUGCUGUCCCAAGGGGUGGGAGGGGAACUGGGGUUACAGUGCUGUCCCGAGGGGCAGGAGGGGAACUGAGGUCAGGGUGCUGUCCCGAGGGGUGGGAGGGGUACCCUUGACCCACAGUUGCCUGUCUCCCAUCAGCCCUAUCUUCCUCCUUUCUUCCCUCUCUCCAUGUUUGUUACCCUCAGGCCUUUCAUGAAGAGAAGAAUGGGGGAGAGGAUGCAAGGGGCCCCCAAGCCCCACAGCUUCCAUAGCAUCACACCCCAGGGGCUUUGAGAAGAGGAGAUUGGCUGAACUUGAUAGUGGACCUGCUCGGGUCCCUGCCUCCCACCCUGGCCUCUGCCUUUCUCCCUCCUGCCUUCUGCUUGGGGGACUCAGGACUUCACUUCCAGAGUACCCUCAUAAUCCCCAUUUUUCAGGCCACCUCAGUAUUGCCUAUGGGGAGGGGUCACCCCUCCAUUCCCUACCCCAAGUGCCUUUGCUGUUUUUAUAUCCUGAAUUGGAGGUUUAUUUUUAAUAU
rnacentral:lncRNA from 1 species